rnacentral:rRNA from 1 species
GGGAUCAUGAUGGGAGCAGCGUCGGCGCACCAGAAACCUUUGUGAACUUAUACCUAUUGUUGCCUCGGCGAAGGCCGGCCUCUUCUGAGGCCCCCCGGAAACGGGGAGCAGCCCGCCGGCGGCCAACCAAACUCUUGUUUCUUAGUGAAUCUCUGAGUAAAAAACAUAAAUGAAUCAAAACUUUCAACAACGGAUCUCUUGGUUCUGGCAUCGAUGAAGAACGCAGCGAAAUGCGAUAAGUAAUGUGAAUUGCAGAAUUCAGUGAAUCAUCGAAUCUUUGAACGCACAUUGCGCCCUCUGGUAUUCCGGAGGGCAUGCCUGUUCGAGCGUCAUUUCAACCCUCAAGCCUGGCUUGGUGUUGGGGCACUGCUUUGUCUCCAAAGCAGGCCCUGAAAUCUAGUGGCGAGCUCGACUAGGACCCCGAGCGUAGUAGUUAUAUCUCGUUCUGGAAGGCCCUGGCGGUGCCCUGCCGUUAAACCCCCAACUUCUGAAAUUUUGACCUCGGAUCAGGUAGGAAUACCCGCUGAACUUAAGCAUAUC